rnacentral:rRNA from 1 species
GGGAGUAUAUUUUCAUAGUUCGUUCUUGUUGUGGGCAGUUAAUGUUCCAACUUGGCGGGCACUCUCAUCUUUUGGUGGAACCAUUUUGAUCGCAAGGUCGAGAUGGGAUAAACCAAUCAUUUACUGUGAACAAAUUGGAGUGUUCAAAGCAGGCUUUUGUGCGAUGAACAUAUUAGCAUGGAAUAAUAAAAUAGGACGUUGGUUCUAUUUUGUUGGUUUGCGGAUCGACGUA